GGGUUGUGAGGUUAAGCGACUAAGCGUACACGGUGGAUGCCCUGGCAGUCAGAGGCGAUGAAGGGCGUGCUAAUCUGCGAUAAGCGCCGGUAAGGUGAUAUGAACCGUUAUAACCGGCGAUACCCGAAUGGGGAAACCCAGUGUGAUUCGUCACACUAUCAUUAACUGAAUCCAUAGGUUAAUGAGGCGAACCGGGGGAACUGAAACAUCUAAGUACCCCGAGGAAAAGAAAUCAACCGAGAUUCCCCCAGUAGCGGCGAGCGAACGGGGAGGAGCCCAGAGCCUGAAUCAGCAUGUGUGUUAGUGGAAGCGUCUGGAAAGGCGCGCGAUACAGGGUGACAGCCCCGUACACAAAAGCGCAUGUGCUGUGAGCUCGAUGAGUAGGGCGGGACACGUGGUAUCCUGUCUGAAUAUGGGGGGACCAUCCUCCAAGGCUAAAUACUCCUGACUGACCGAUAGUGAACCAGUACCGUGAGGGAAAGGCGAAAAGAACCCCGGCGAGGGGAGUGAAAAAGAACCUGAAACCGUGUACGUACAAGCAGUGGGAGCNNNNNNNNNNNNNNNNNNNNNNNNNNNGGGCGUUAAGUUGCAGGGUAUAGACCCGAAACCCGGUGAUCUAGCCAUGGGCAGGUUGAAGGUUGGGUAACACUAACUGGAGGACCGAACCGACUAAUGUUGAAAAAUUAGCGGAUGACCUGUGGCUGGGGGUGAAAGGCCAAUCAAACCGGGAGAUAGCUGGUUCUCCCCGAAAGCUAUUUAGGUAGCGCCUCGUGAAUUCAUCUCCGGGGGUAGAGCACUGUUUCGGCUAGGGGGCCAUCCCGGCUUACCAACCCGAUGCAAACUGCGAAUACCGGAGAAUGUUAUCACGGGAGACACACGGCGGGUGCUAACGUCCGUCGUGAAGAGGGAAACAACCCAGACCGCCAGCUAAGGUCCCAAAGUCAUGGUUAAGUGGGAAACGAUGUGGGAAGGCCCAGACAGCCAGGAUGUUGGCUUAGAAGCAGCCAUCAUUUAAAGAAAGCGUAAUAGCUCACUGGUCGAGUCGGCCUGCGCGGAAGAUGUAACGGGGCUAAACCAUGCACCGAAGCUGCGGCAGCGACACUGUGUGUUGUUGGGUAGGGGAGCGUUCUGUAAGCCUGCGAAGGUGGCCUGUGAGGGUUGCUGGAGGUAUCAGAAGUGCGAAUGCUGACAUAAGUAACGAUAAAGCGGGUGAAAAGCCCGCUCGCCGGAAGACCAAGGGUUCCUGUCCAACGUUAAUCGGGGCAGGGUGAGUCGACCCCUAAGGCGAGGCCGAAAGGCGUAGUCGAUGGGAAACGGGUUAAUAUUCCCGUACUUGGUGUUACUGCGAAGGGGGGACGGAGAAGGCUAUGUUGGCCGGGCGACGGUUGUCCCGGUUUAAGCGUGUAGGUGUGUGUUCCAGGUAAAUCCGGUUCACUUUAACACUGAGGCGUGACGACGAGGCACUACGGUGCUGAAGCAACAAAUGCCCUGCUUCCAGGAAAAGCCUCUAAGCAUCAGGUAACAUCAAAUCGUACCCCAAACCGACACAGGUGGUCAGGUAGAGAAUACCAAGGCGCUUGAGAGAACUCGGGUGAAGGAACUAGGCAAAAUGGUGCCGUAACUUCGGGAGAAGGCACGCUGACACGUAGGUGAAGUGAUUUACUCAUGGAGCUGAAGUCAGUCGAAGAUACCAGCUGGCUGCAACUGUUUAUUAAAAACACAGCACUGUGCAAACACGAAAGUGGACGUAUACGGUGUGACGCCUGCCCGGUGCCGGAAGGUUAAUUGAUGGGGUCAGCGCAAGCGAAGCUCCUGAUCGAAGCCCCGGUAAACGGCGGCCGUAACUAUAACGGUCCUAAGGUAGCGAAAUUCCUUGUCGGGUAAGUUCCGACCUGCACGAAUGGCGUAAUGAUGGCCAGGCUGUCUCCACCCGAGACUCAGUGAAAUUGAACUCGCUGUGAAGAUGCAGUGUACCCGCGGCAAGACGGAAAGACCCCGUGAACCUUUACUAUAGCUUGACACUGAACAUUGAGCCUUGAUGUGUAGGAUAGGUGGGAGGCUUUGAAGUGUGGACGCCAGUCUGCAUGGAGCCGACCUUGAAAUACCACCCUUUAAUGUUUGAUGUUCUAACGUGGACCCGUUACCCGGGUUGCGGACAGUGUCUGGUGGGUAGUUUGACUGGGGCGGUCUCCUCCUAAAGAGUAACGGAGGAGCACGAAGGUUGGCUAAUCCUGGUCGGACAUCAGGAGGUUAGUGCAAUGGCAUAAGCCAGCUUGACUGCGAGCGUGACGGCGCGAGCAGGUGCGAAAGCAGGUCAUAGUGAUCCGGUGGUUCUGAAUGGAAGGGCCAUCGCUCAACGGAUAAAAGGUACUCCGGGGAUAACAGGCUGAUACCGCCCAAGAGUUCAUAUCGACGGCGGUGUUUGGCACCUCGAUGUCGGCUCAUCACAUCCUGGGGCUGAAGUAGGUCCCAAGGGUAUGGCUGUUCGCCAUUUAAAGUGGUACGCGAGCUGGGUUUAGAACGUCGUGAGACAGUUCGGUCCCUAUCUGCCGUGGGCGCUGGAGAACUGAGGGGGGCUGCUCCUAGUACGAGAGGACCGGAGUGGACGCAUCACUGGUGUUCGGGUUGUCAUGCCAAUGGCACUGCCCGGUAGCUAAAUGCGGAAGAGAUAAGUGCUGAAAGCAUCUAAGCACGAAACUUGCCCCGAGAUGAGUUCUCCCUGAGACUUAGAGUCUCCUGAAGGAACGUUGAAGACGACGACGUUGAUAGGCCGGGUGUGUAAGCGCAGCGAUGCGUUGAGCUAACCGGUACUAAUGAACCGUGAGGCUUAACCUUACAACGCCGAAG
rnacentral:rRNA from 1 species